rnacentral:rRNA from 1 species
AAACCUGCGAAACUCGAAUGAACGAACGGAGAGAUUCAUCGACAUCCGGCGGCGCGCGGGCGCGCGCCUCGAUGUCGCGCCUCCCCCCUCGCGGGUGCGGUUGGCGCGGCACGGGUCGCGUCCGUCGCUGUCCGCCGGCGUCGUGCACUUCUCUCUUAGUAAUGCAUCGCGACCCGUUCGACGUCGGCUUAAGCGUCUCCCGAUUCGCCCAGCGGCGGGCUCGCCCACCGCUGGAACGCGGAGGCCGCCGGCCGGCUGUCGGACGGUAUCGACGUGAACCGCGCACGCGCCUCUAGCGCGCGUCCGGCCCGACGCAAGCUCGCGCCGUAUCACGUUGCGGUCCUGCCCGAGUGCGGACCGCGACGCGGCGUAGCUGUCGUCGCAGCCGUGCCGUCUCGGACCGUGCGCGUCUCAGUCUGCGAUGAUUC